AUUAGGAAUGUCAACUGUCUCAUUUGCACAUGGAAAGACGCGGAGGGGGAUACUUGCACACAAAUAAGUAGCUGGUGAUGGCGCUGGUUACAAGCGAUCGUGGACUGAAGACUGCUGCCAGAAAAUUCAGAGCUCUUUUUGGAAAAGGUGGCUCAAAGCACAGCGAUGGAAGAACGAUGGUGUGCACCAGCAGUUAAGAACAACAGCUUUUGCUCCCUUGCACUCCAUACAAAACAGCAGCAGCAGCCCCGCAGCAUGUCUACACGCCGAAGGUCCGUGCCUGCUCCUGGGAGUUACCUGAUGAAUAACUCCAUUUUCCAGCUGCUCGGUGAAUGGCUCUCCACCUACAUCGCUCUUCUCGAUUCUCCAAGGCUCCAGAAGAAAGUGAUCUCCUCCUAAGCAUCCGUUCCUCACAUUUCUGCAUGGCAGUUACCUGUGGGCUGAUUCCUGAUGCUCCUCCUCAGGGCCAAGGCUGGGACCAGCCUGCGCAGCGAGGCACCGAUCCUGCAGCUUGGGGUGGCGGCUGGGCAGCAGCGUGCUCUGCAGACAUCUGCAAUGCCCUGGCCGUACCCUGCAAGGCACGCAGAUACACAGACACCCACGAUGAAGUCGCCAGGGCCCUGGGCAAACAUCAGGUACACCCGGACACAGGCGGCAAUAGCAGACAAGUUCUUAAAAAAAGUCCUGUCACUCCCACCGUUUUGCUGGGAUGA
rnacentral:lncRNA from 1 species